rnacentral:rRNA from 1 species
GUGGGGAAUCUUGCGCAAUGGGCGAAAGCCUGACGCAGCCAUGCCGCGUGAAUGAUGAAGGUCUUAGGAUUGUAAAAUUCUUUCACCGGGGACGAUAAUGACGGUACCCGGAGAAGAAGCUCCGGCUAACUUCGUGCCAGCAGCCGCGGUAAUACGAAGGGGGCUAGCGUUGCUCGGAAUUACUGGGCGUAAAGGGCGCGUAGGCGGACAGCUUAGUCAGAGGUGAAAGCCCAGGGCUCAACCUUGGAAUUGCCUUUGAUACUGGCUGUCUUGAGUUUGGGAGAGGUGAGUGGAACUCCGAGUGUAGAGGUGAAAUUCGUAGAUAUUCGGAAGAACACCAGUGGCGAAGGCGACUGACUGGACAAGUAUUGACGCUGAGGUGCGAAAGCGUGGGGAGCAAACAGGAUUAGAUACCCUUGUAGUCC